ACUGCUUAUGCUUUGUUAAGGGUACCUAAAUUGAAGGACUGAUUAGUUAAAUAUAUGUAUAAGUGUCACACCUUGAAAAGGGACAAUUCUUGCCGAUCAUAACCCACUUUAACAAAGGGAAUUACACAUGUCAAUUCUCCUGGAAAAAUACUUAUUUCUAUAACAAAGGAACUGUGUCAGUGGGCAGAGUAUACAAAGCAGUGAGGCACGUAGGCAGCGAACACAGCAGUGUAUUCACUCGCACCUUCGUAAUACAUUUGUCGCACACAAGGGAGACAAAUCGAUUUUUCGAAGCGUCGAGAAGGCAGCUGCCGCUGGGUAUAAAUACAGCUCGCAGCAGGCAUUUCAGUCAUUCGGAAAAAAUAAGUGCUCAAGUGAAGUUCUGUCGUGAAACUGAAAUUAAUUGAAGAAAAGUUGUUUCUAAUAUAAAGUGCUAAAUUUUCACAUUAGUUGUUACACACACAUACCAUGUAUAUAUAUUGUUCAACGGCAAUGCAAAUGUGUGCAGAAACAGUUGGAAAGGCAAACCUGAGGAGCUAUAACAUGGCACGAAGGCUGAAAUAAUUGCUAGUACGGGUUUCUCAAGCAUUUCUGCUCUGAACAAAGAAAAUGAAAUCAGCUCCUCGUCGUCAUCUCAGCGUGGGCACGUCAGGCAUUUUCACAUAACGGCGAAAUGGGGCCACACAAAACCAGACUUGGCGGUGCGAAAACCCAACCAAGUUUUUCAUCUUUGGCUAGAAAGUUGCACUGUAGGCAGGCUGAGGCAGAUGCCAGGCGUUUGAAUUGCUAGCCGGAGUGUGCGGAGUGUGUGUGUUGUCCUGGACUUGAGGAGUUUGGAUAGGAAGCCAGGUAUAAAACGCAGCGAAGACAGCUUGUUCUCUUGUUAUACGUAAGCAAAAACUCUAAGCUUAAGGCGUAGUUUUUAUUGCCAGUCAAUUUUUCAAUUUCUAAAACGUUUUCCAACGUGUGACGUCAGCGUGUUUUUUUUCUUGCUUUUCUAAGUAAACGUUUGUACAAAUUUCUCUUCGAAAUGAACAAAUUUGCAAAUAUUGUGUAAUAUUCAUAUUUGCAAUUUCUGUAUUGCGUAAUAUCGUUUUUUCGUCGCAUCUAGCACAAAAUCCACCCCAUGCAGGGCCAUGAGUCAUCUUAUUUUCUGUCAUACAUGAACCACCUCGACUGUUCUAUGUGUAAAACGCCCAAAGAAGAGCGGUUGGCCUGCUCUAAAAAUAAUGCGCAUUGUAUGCAUUGCAUGUAUAUAUACGACUCGUAUACACAUUCUAUCUCGCUUGCACACUUACGUACAGAUGCCUUUGCGUGGCCCAGCAGCUGCGCAAUCAACCCACCCCGUGGUGAGUUAUUGGACCCGCCUUUGUUGUAUUGAUUUGACUCUCCACCUCUUCUGUACGUAUACGUAUAAGUGUGUUACCAUCUCUUACACAAGUAUCUCUGGAACGGUCGCUUUUAUUGGCAAUUUACGUACUAAAUUAAGUUCUUUAGCCCUUUAAAAAUCUAGUUGUUAAUCUUUAUUAAUUAACUGCCAUUUUGAUAAUUGUUUUACACGUUAACCAAGCAAUAUGUAUUUCUUUCUCUAAACUUUAUAGUUGGGCGUUGAAAGUUGAUACGCGAUCGAUAGAUGUUAUAACUCGAAUGCAAUGCGUGCGAAAGGGCAUUACAACAGCUGAAAUAUGCCGUUGGUGUGGCCCCGUUAGCCGUGUGGCGAGAGUAUAUCUGAACUCAGCGACCUGUGUGUGUCGCUACCUACACACAGGGGUACUAAACAUCGUUUUUAUCAGAUUGAUUGCGUGGAUUGAAUUUAUAGGAACCUGUAUCGACUUCUCUGCUCUACUAAGACUUGUUCAAAACAAAGGCGCACAAUUACCUAUACGUUUAUAUACGGCCUUCUAUUAUUUACCUAACAUCAUCGAACCGUUAUCAAUACCGAUCCAAACAGAUAUAAACACUACUGACAUCGAUCGAUAAAGAUAUAUAUCUCGUAUCUGGAGUAGCAACUGAACGAGCCAAUCGUUAGUUCGUUUUAUGCAGCACAAUUUACAAACUAUAUUCUUGUUAUUUACUUAUUUUUUUGUUGUAAACAUAAACAUUUGCUAGUACACGACAUGUGCGACUUAAGUUCUUAAAUACCUGAAACUGUUAAACAAAAAGAAAAAAAACAAAGAAAAUAUUCUGUUUUUGUACACAACCCAAGAUUUAAGAAAAUUUGUCCAUUUAUUGUUGUAAAUAUACUUGUCCAUACCAGUUAUAGAUAAUGAAUGAAGAAUAUAAGAAAAAAAGAAUGAGCUCAUCAAUACAGAAAAGAAGCUACAAACAAAAAAGAAUAAAAGAAAUCUAAGAAGACCAAUAAAUUUCGAAACAAUUGUUCGCCAUAUUUUUAUUUUAAGCUAAAAUUCUACACAAAUUUCAGUCUUAUCAUCGUACAAAUGGAGGAAGGGCCACUCUAAAUAUCCCAUACAGGUUUAUUUACACGAAAAUUAUGCGUAUAAAAGUCUAUGAAAUUUCUAAGGUUUGAAGUUAAGGUAAACAUCGACAACAUAUAUAUAUAUAUAUAUAUAUAAAAGAGACAUUCCCUAUAAAUAUGUUAAAAUUUUUCUCUAUACGCAUUGCUUGCGAUCAUAUAAGGGAAAUAUAUGCGAAUUUGAAAAUUAUAAAUUAAGCAGGGCUUUGGUAAAUGCUAAAAUAUGCGGUAAACUGCAAAAACGGUUAAAUAUUCAAAUUUGAGACACUUCAUCAAUGGCCGUAUUAAUACAAUUUUACAGACCCAACAUUACACAAUAUUCUACAAUUUAUUCCACUUUUCUGAUUUACUUAAGAAUUUAAGUUAAGUGUCUUCAAUUUGUCUUUAAUUUUUUUUUUUUAGUUGUCUUUACUAUCAAACUAUCUUAACUAAAUAUCAAACACAGCCUGAACACAUAAAAUUUACUUCAAAUACCAAGCGGAAACUAAACAACAAGGAUUAAACACUUCCAAUCCCCAAAAGCAAUUUUUCUUCCACAACUUAUCAACAUCGGAAGUUAACUUCAAUGACAAAAGUAUCCUUUAAUGGUCAGAAUUGUCCAGCAUAAAAUGGAACAUCCCAUCCGAUUAUCUGUUUACAUUUCAACCUGGAAAUUUCCAUCAAAGAAUUAGUACAUUUUCAAACUCGUCUCAAAUUGCACCAUCUGAAACAAUGGAAACUUCGUCAGCCCAGGCAUAAAUCUACCUCAAUGCACCACAUUCAAUUCAAGCAAAUACUUCUCAAAUAUUAAUGUGCCAACCAAGUAUACAUCCACAAAAUUCGUCUGCUUCUCAACUUCUCCAUCUACAAGCAUCUCAAUAUCGUCUACUUCCCCAACUGCUCCAUCUACAAGCAACUCAAUCUUUUACUUCCUCAACUGCUCCUCCAUCUACAAGCAACUCAACACAGCUGACACCUUUAAAAUUUAUCAGACACUAUUUUAAGUUCGAUUUUCAACAAUUUCAAAAUAUUUUUUCAACGUUCUUUGUCGUUCGACAAAUUUUUACUAUUUAUAUAUAUCUGAGCCGUGAUUACAACCAAAUAUUAAAUUAAAUUUGUCAAACACAUUACGAAACGUUCUACUGACACCACGUUGUCUUAAACAUCCUUAUAAAACUGCGUCCAAUACAAAUUAUAAAUUAUUAAGCAUACGAAAAAGUGAAAACAGAAAUUUCCCUGCGAUUACAAAAAGAGCGUAAAAACACACGAAAACUGCGAAGAAUUUAAGAAAGUGGAGUGUAUGGUUAAGAGUGUGAAAACAUAGAAAUUUCCCUAAUAGGUAGGUCAUACACAAACCCCGAUUACAACCCAAAUUUAAAACAUACAAGAGCGUAAAAACACACGAAAACUGCGAUGAAUUUAAGAAAGUGGAAUGUUUAGUUAAGAGUGUGAAAACAUAGAAAUUUCCCUAAUAGGUAGGACAUACACAAACUGCGAUGAAUUUGAGAGAAUGGAGUAUUCGGUUAAGAGUGUGAGGACAUAAAAAUUUCCUUUUUAGGUAGGACAUAAACAAACCCCGAUUACAACCCAAAUUUAAAACAUACAAGAGCGUAAAAACACACGAAAACUGCGAUGAAUUUAUGAAAGUGGAGUGUUUGGUUAAGAGUGUGAAGACAUAGAAAUUUCCCUAAUAGGUAGGACAUACACAAACUGCGAUGAAUUUAAGAAAGUGGAGUGUUUGGUUAAGAGUGUGAAAACAUAGAAAUUUCCUUUUUAGGUAGGACAUAAACAAACCCCGAUUACAACCCAAAUUUAAAACAUACAAGAGCGUAAAAACACACGAAAACUGCGAUGAAUUUAUGAAAGUGGAGUGUUUGGUUAAGAGUGUGAAGACAUAGAAAUUUCCCUAAUAGGUAGGACAUACACAAACUGCGAAGAAUUUGAAGAAAGUGGAGUGUUUGGUUAAGAGUGUGAAAACAUAGAAAUUUCCCUAAUAGGUAGGUCAUACACAAACCCCGAUUACAACCCAAAUUUAAAACAUACAAGAGCGUUAAAACGUACACGAAAACUGCGAUGAAUUUGAGAGAAUGGAGUGUUUGGUUAAGAGUGUGAAGACAGAAAUUUCCCUAAUAGGUAGGUCAUACACAAACCCCGAUUACAACCCAAAUUUAAAACAUACAAGAGCGUUAAUUUAAGAGAAUGGAGUGUUUGGUUAAGAGUGUGAAGACAUAGAAAUUUCCCUAAUAGGUAGGUCAUACACAAACCCCGAUUACAACCCAAAUUUAAAACCUACAAGAGCGUAAAAACACACGAAAACUGCUAUGAAUUUGAAGAAAGUGGAGUGUUUGGUUAAGAGUGUGAAAACAUAUAAAUUUCCCUAAUAGGUAGGACAUACACAAACUGCGAUGAAUUUGAGAGAAUGGAGUAUUCGGUUAAGAGUGUGAGGACAUAGAAAUUUCCUUUUUAGGUAGGACAUACACAAACUGCGAUGAAUUUGAGAGAAUGGAGUGUUUGGUUAAGAGUGUGAAGACAUAGAAAUUUCCCUAAUAGGUAGGACAUACACAAACUGCGAUUACAACCCAAAUUUAAAACAUACAAGAGCGUAAAAACACACUAAAGCUGCGAUGCAUUUGAAGAAAGUGGAGUGUUCGAUUAAGAGUGUGAAAACAUAGAAAUUUCCCUAAUAGGUAGGUCAUACACAAACCCCGAUUACAACCCAAAUUUAAAACCUACAAGAGCGUAAAAACACACGAAAACUGCUAUGAAUUUGAAGAAAGUGGAGUGUUUGGUUAAGAGUGUGAAAACAUAUAAAUUUCCCUAAUAGGUAGGACAUACACAAACUGCGAUGAAUUUGAGAGAAUGGAGUAUUCGGUUAAGAGUGUGAGGACAUAAAAAUUUCCUUUUUAGGUAGGACAUACACAAACUGCGAUGAAUUUGAGAGAAUGGAGUGUUUGGUUAAGAGUGUGAAGACAUAGAAAUUUCCCUAAUAGGUAGGACAUACACAAACUGCGAUGAAUUUAAGAAAGUGGAGUGUUUGGUUAAGAGUGUGAAGACAUAGAAAUUUCCCUAAUAGGUAGGACAUACACAAACUGCGAUGAAUUUGAAGAAAGUGGAGUGUUUGGUUAAGAGUGUGAAGACAUAGAAAUUUCCCAAAUAGGUAGGACAUAAACAAACCCCGAUUACAACCCAAAUUUAAAACAUACAAGAGCGUAAAAACACACGAAAACUGCGAUGAAUUUGAAGAAAGUGGAGUGUUUGGUUAAGAGUGUGAAGACAUAGAAAUUUCCCUAAUAGGUAGGACAUACACAAACUGCGAUGAAUUUGAGAGAAUGGAGUGUGAAAACAUAGGUAUUUCUCCAUUAGGUAGGACAUAAACAAACCCCGAUUACAACCCAAAUUUAAAACAUACAAGAGCGUAAAAACACACGAAAACUGCGAUGAAUUUGAAGAAAGUGGAGUGUUUGGUUAAGAGUGUGAAGACAUAGAAAUUUCCCUAAUAGGUAGGACAUACACAAACUGCGAUGAAUUUAAGAAAGUGGAGUGUUUGGUUAAGAGUGUGAAGACAUAGAAAUUUCCCUAAUAGGUAGGACAUACACAAACUGCGAUGAAUUUGAGAGAAUGGAGUGUGAAAACAUAGGUAUUUCUCCAUUAGGUAGGACAUAAACAAACCCCGAUUACAACCCAAAUUUAAAACAUACAAGAGCGUUAAAACGUACACGAAAACUGCGAUGAAUUUGAGAGAAUGGAGUAUUCGGUUAAGAGUGUGAAAACAUAGAUAUUUCUCUAUUAGGUAGGACAUAAACAAACCCCGAUUACACCCAAAUUUAAAACAUACAAGAGCGUUAAAACACACGAAAACUGCGAUGAAUUUAAGAAAGUGGAGUGUUUGGUUAAGAGUGUGAAAACAUAGAAAUUUCUCCAUUAGGUAGGACAUAAACAAACCCCGAUUACAACCCAAAUUUAAAACAAACAAGAGCGUAAAAACACACGAAAACUGCGAUGAAUUUGAAGAAAGUGGAGUGUUUGGUUAAGAGUGUGAAGACAUAGAAAUUUCCCUAAUAGGUAGGACAUACACAAACUGCGAUGAAUUUAAGAAAGUGGAGUGUUUGGUUAAGAGUGUGAAGACAUAGAUAUUUCUCUAUUAGGUAGGACAUAAACAAACCCCGAUUACAACCCAAAUUUAAAACCUACAAGAGCGUAAAAACACACGAAAACUGCUAUGAAUUUGAAGAAAGUGGAAUGUUCGAUUAAGAGUGUGAAGACAUAGAAAUUUCCCUAAUAGGUAGGUCAUACACAAACCCCGAUUACAACCCAAAUUUAAAACAUACAAGAGCGUUAAAACGUACACGAAAACUGCGAUGAAUUUGAGAGAAUGGAGUGUUUGGUUAAGAGUGUGAAAACAUAGAUAUUUCUCUAUUACGUAGGUCAUACACAAACCCCGAUUACAACCCAAAUUUAAAACGUACAAGAGCGUUAAAACGUACACGAAAACUGCGAUGAAUUUGAGAGAAUGGAGUGUGAAAACAUAGGUAUUUCUCCAUUAGGUAGGACAUAAACAAACCCCGAUUACAACCCAAAUUUAAAACAUACAAGAGCGUUAAAACGUACACGAAAA